CGCCUACGGGAGGCAGCAGUGAGGAAUAUUGGUCAAUGGGCGGAAGCCUGAACCAGCCAAGUCGCGUGAGGGAAUAAGGCCCUACGGGUCGUAAACCUCUUUUGCCGGGGAGCAAGGGCGGGGACGUGUCCCGGCCCGGAGAGUACCCGGAGAAAAAGCAUCGGCUAACUCCGUGCCAGCAGCCGCGGUAAUACGUAGGUGGCGAGCGUUAUCCGGAAUGAUUGGGCGUAAAGGGUGCGCAGGCGGUCCUGCAAGUCUGGAGUGAAACGCAUGAGCUCAACUCAUGCAUGGCUUUGGAAACUGGG
rnacentral:rRNA from 1 species